UCAGAUCGAAUGCUGAAGUGGAUGCUUACACAUGCAAGUCGAACGGCAGCACGGACUUCGGUCUGGUGGCGAGUGGCGAACGGGUGAGUAAUGUACGAACGUGCCUAGUAGCGGGGGAUAACUACGCGGAGCGUAGCCAAUACCGCAUACGCCCCUUCGGGGGAAAGCGGGGACCUUCGGGCCUCGCACUAUUAGAGAGCGGCCGAUAUCGGAUUAGCUUAGUUGGUGGGGUAACGGCUCACCGGCGCACGAUCCGUAGCUGGUUUGAGAGGACGACCAGCCACACUGGGACUGAGACACGGCCCAGACUCCUACGGGAGGCAGCAGGGGGAAUUUUGGGCAAUGGGGGGAAACCCUGAUCCAGCCAUCCCGCGUGUGCGAUGAAGGCCUUCGGGUUGUAAAGCACUUUUUGGCAGGAAAGAAACGGCACGAUAAUACCCCGUGCAACUGACGGUACCUGCAGAAUAAGCACCGGCUAACUACGUGCCAGCAGCCGCGGUAAUACGUAGGGUGCAAGCGUUAACCGGAAUUACUGGGCGUAAAGCGUGCGCAGGCGGUUCGGAAAGAAAGAUGUGAAAUCCCAGAGCUUAACUUUUGGAACUGCAUUUUUAACUACCGAGCUAGAGUGUGUCAGAGGGAGGUGGAAUUCCGCGUGUAGCAGUGAAAUGCGUAGAUAUGCGGAGGAACACCGAUGGCGAAGGCAGCCUCCUGGGAUAACACCGACGCUCAUGCACGAAAGCGUGGGGAGCAAACAGGAUUAGAUACUCCCAGUCCACGCCCUAAACGAUGUCAACUAGCUGUUGGGGCCUUCGGGCCUUGGUAGCGCAGCUAACGCGUGAAGUUGACCGCCUGGGGAGCACCUCACCGCCGAUCGUCCCGACGGACGUAACUGCUGUCGCCGCCAGACGACGGGCAUUAUCUCCAGGUUCUUCUGAAAACUUUAUCACCUUGACAUCCGAACCUGAAGAGACCUGGAAUCUUUCACGAAAACCAUAACCACAGGUGCCGCAUGGCUGUCGUCAGCUCGUGUCGUGAGAUGUUGGGUUAAGUCCCGCAACGAGCGCAACCCUUGUCAUUAGUUGCUACGAAAGGGCACUCUAAUGAGACUGCCGGUGACAAACCGAGGAAGGUGAUGACGUCAAGUCCUCAUGGCCCUUAUGGGUAGGGCUUCACACGUCAUACAAUGGUCGGGACAGAGGGUCGCCAACCCGCGAGGGGGGAGCCAAUCCCAGAAACCCGAUCGUAGUCCGGAUCGCAGUCUACAACUCGACUGCGUGAAGUCGGAAUCGCUAGUAAUCGCAUCAUAUGCCUGCGGUGAAUACGUUCCCGGGUCUUGUACACACCGCCCGUCACACCAUGGAGUGGGUUUUACUCACGAAGUAGUUAGCCUAACCGUAAGGAGGGUUAUUACUACCACGGUAGGAUUCAUGACUGGGUGUAGUCGUAACAAGGUAA
rnacentral:rRNA from 1 species